GACGAACGCUGGCGGCGUGCUUAACACAUGCAAGUCGAGCGGUGAGGCCCUUUCGGGGGUACGACGAGCGGCGAACGGGUGAGUAACACGUGGGUGACCUGCCCUCAGCUCUGGGAUAAGCCUGGGAAACCGGGUCUAAUACCGGAUAUGACUCCAUGACGCAUGUUGUGGGGUGGAAAGCCUUGUGCGGCUGAGGAUGGGCCCGCGGCCUAUCAGCUUGUUGGUGGGGU
rnacentral:rRNA from 1 species